rnacentral:lncRNA from 1 species
UACAAGUCGAAUAAGAUAGGGAAUCAGAUGGGGAAUCGUCAAGGGAAGGUCUUGAGAGACGAUUGACGGCAGAGGAUAGGCCACAUACGCAUGUCAUGGCCAUUAGAGUCAGUAUCUGCGUUUGAUAGAUUUUUAUUUAUAGUUUCUUUUGUUAAAGAGUCAUCUUUUCCUUUGUCUUUAUUUUGUUUCUUUUUAUUUUUUUCCUUUCAUAGGAAAAUUCCCUAGUAGAGUCUGUUUGGUCGGAACCAGUGGGAAAUGACUUCAAAAUAGGCCAUCAACUAGUACAUCCAAGUGGUACAAGGAACAGGCGCAAAACCUGUGUCAAGAAGGGUAUCCCUAUCAAGAUGAGAUUGAUAAAAGGGAUGGGCCAGUGUCAGCAAUUAAUAUCAUCCCCAGCAAGUUUGAUAGCAUAAUGGAACACAAAGCUGGGAAAGGAGAAAGAGGAAACCAUCCCCAACAAGAGUGGCAUGACCACUUACCAUGUUUUUAAACUAACAAAUUUUUCUUUGAUUUAGAAACAGGGAAAAUGAACGUUAUUGAUGGCGGAAAGACAGGCCAUAAAGAAAAUCAUCAAACCGGGUCAGAAAAUUUUCUCAUUGUGAAAAUUUUCUCGAAGACAGGAGCCCACCUGAAUAACGAGAGGAAUACUUUUAUGUCUUAGUAUAGACAGGCGCCCACCUGAAUAACGAGAGGAAUACUUUUAUGUCUUAGUAUAGAUAGGCGCCCACCUGAAUAACGAGAGGAAUACUUUUUGUCUGUGCAUUUCAUAUUUCAGGCACCCACAUGUAUAACAAGGGAAUACAUUUCAUGUCUUUACCAUUAGGCGCCCACCUGUAUAACAAGGGAAUACAUUCCACGUCUGUUCCAAUAGGAGACGCACUUCCUAAGCCUAGCCUUUACCAAUAGGAGGCGCACUUCCUAAGCCUAGCCUUUACUAAUAGGAGACGCACUUCCUAAGUCUAGUUUUGCCAAUAGGAGACGCACUUCCUAAGCUUUACCCAUAGGAGACGCACUUCCUAAGUUAUUUCACCCAUAGGAGAUGCAUUUCCUCCUAAGUUUAUUUUUACCCAUAGGAGAUGCAUUU